rnacentral:ncRNA from 1 species
AAAUGCGGUGCUCCGGCCAUGGCCGGAGUGAAAAGGGAAUGGGGUGAGAAUCCCCAGCAGGGCCGCUGCUGUAUGGGCGGAUGGGCACGGAAGGCCGAAGCCACUGAACCGGAAGGUUUGGGAAGGACGCGGCGACAGGGACGUGCCGGGAAGAGUCGAAUCCGGAUCCGGAAGAAGACUCCGCCGCCUGAGCCAGAAGACCUGCCGCAUUU